rfam:Jannaschia aquimarina strain GSW-M26 jaqu_contig000020, whole genome shotgun sequence.
CGGUCCGCAGACACCGAGACGCCGCCGGGCAUCCGCCCACGCUGAACCUGCGC